AUUGAACGCUGGCGGCAGGCCUAACACAUGCGAGUCGAGCGGAUGAAGGGAGCUUGCUCCUGGAUUCAGCGGCGGACGGGUGAGUAAUGCCUAGGAAUCUGCCUGGUAGUGGGGGAUAACGUCCGGAAACGGGCGCUAAUACCGCAUACGUCCUGAGGGAGAAAGUGGGGGAUCUUCGGACCUCAGGCUAUAAGAUGAGCCUAGGUCGGAUUAGCUAGUUGGUGGGGUAAAGGCCUACCAAGCCGACGAUCCGUAACUGGUCUGAGAGGAUGAUCAGUCACACUGGAACUGAGACACGGUCCAGACUCCUACGGGAGGCAGCAGUGGGGAAUAUUGGACAAUGGGCGAAAGCCUGAUCCAGCCAUGCCGCGUGUGUGAAGAAGGUCUUCGGAUUGUAAAGCACUUUAAGUUGGGAGGAAGGGCAGUAAGUUAAUACCUUGCUGUUUUGACGUUACCAACAGAAUAAGCACCGGCUAACUUCGUG
rnacentral:rRNA from 1 species